rnacentral:rRNA from 1 species
AUUGAACGCUGGCGGCAGGCCUAACACAUGCAAGUCGAGCGAGCGGAGGACGGGUGAGUAAUGUCUGGGAAACUGCCUGAUGGAGGGGGAUAACUCCUGGAAACGGUAGCUAAUACCGCAUACCCUCAGAUGUGCCCAGAGGGGAUUAGCUAGUAGGUGGGGUAACGGCUCACCUAGGCGACGAUCCCUAGCUGGACUGAGAGGAGGACCAGCCAAACUGGAACUGAGACACGGUCCAGACUCCUACGGGAGGCAGCAGUGGGGAAUAUUGCACAAUGGGCGCAAGCCUGAUCCAGCCAUGCCGCGUGUGUGAAGAAGGCCUUCGGAUUGUAAAGCACUUUCAGCGGGGAGGCGUUACCCGCAGAGGAAGCACCGGCUAACUCCGUGCCAGCCGCCGCGGUAAUUC